AGUCUAUGUCCAUUCCCAGCAGAAGAAAUUCAACAAGAAGUAACCAAAUAUCCUAAUGCUACAGAUUUCCUUUGGAGUCAGGAAGAACACAGGAAUAUGGGAGCAUGGACAUUUGUCUCUCCAAGGUUCAACAAUUUAGUUGGAUGCCAGUUACGAUAUGUUGGAAGAGAUCAUUAAGUUCUCCUGCUACAGGUAUUGGUGAAGUACAUAGACAAGAAACUAUACAAAUCAUUGAGGAUACAUAUAGUUAAGAACAAUACUCAUGUGUAAAGAUUAUGUUCAGCAUUAAUGUAUAUCUGGGAUAACAUGUGUGUGUGUGCAAGUUUUUUAAUUGACCAUUGUACUAAAAUUACCGGUGUAUACACUACAUCACAAGUCUUAAAAAGGCAGAGCUAAAAUUUUACCAGAUAUUGAUAUUAUUUUUAAUUCAGUGAUACAAUUCAUAAUUUAAAAAUAUCAUACUUUAGGCCGCGAGAAUUUGCUACUGGAUGUUAAGAUAUCUAUCAAUCCGAAUUCAUGCAGUCCAACUUAGUCUCUAUGUUUAAUGAUAAAUCAAAAUGAACCCAUAAAUGCCUUGAAUAUUUAUUAUUUUGUUUAGGCCUUCUAAGUUUAAAGCCAGUAUAUAUUUUAAAACUCUCAUC